rnacentral:rRNA from 1 species
CCUACGGGUGGCUGCAGUGAGGAAUAUUGGUCAAUGGGCGUAAGCCUGAACCAGCCAAGUCGCGUGAGGGAUGAAGGUUCUAUGGAUCGUAAACCUCUUUUAUAAGGGAAUAAAGUGUGGGACGUGUCCUAUUUUGUAUGUACCUUAUGAAUAAGGAUCGGCUAACUCCGUGCCAGCAGCCGCGGUAAUACGGAGGGUCCGAGCGUUAUCCGGAUUUAUUGGGUGUAAAGGGUGCGUAGGCGGCCUUUUAAGUCAGCGGUGAAAGUCUGUGGCUCAACCAUAGAAUUGCCGUUGAAACUGGGCGGCUUGAGUAUGUUUGAGGCAGGCGGAAUGCGUGGUGUAGCGGUGAAAUGCUUAGAUAUCACGCAGAACCCCGAUGGCGAAGGCAGCCUGCUGAGCCAUAACUGACGCUGAUGCACGAAAGCGUGGGGAUCAAACAGGAUUAGAUACCCUUGUAGUC